GUCACUUCUCAGCCUUUUGGCUGAGAUCAAGUGUAGUAUGUGUUCUUACCAGAAAACAAGGGAAAUAAAAUGUUAUGCUCAGAAGCCAGUCCCCUAACUUUUAACUUAGUUCAA
rnacentral:snRNA from 1 species